rnacentral:lncRNA from 1 species
UGAGUUGUAUUCAAGGGGCUGUAGCUGCUGAGAUCGCGCUUUCUCCACAAGCUCCUUCCAUCAGAGCGCAUUACGCUGGCAAAUCGUAUAGGGGCAAGGGCACUGGGACGUCGGAUUGCAGCAGCAUACGGUGGUUAACAGUCAGCGAUGGUGGUGAAGUGGACAAAGGAAGAUAGAGAGAGAACGCCGCUGGUGGUGGCCCCCAUUGAGGGAAAAUGGAUUAGCAAUUCUAGAGAGGGAAAUUGA